rnacentral:rRNA from 1 species
GAUGAACGCUGGCGGCGUGCUUAACACAUGCAAGUCGAACGAUGAAGCCCAGCUUGCUGGGUGGAUUAGUGGCGAACGGGUGAGUAACACGUGAGUAACCUGCCCUUAACUCUGGGAUAAGCCUGGGAAACURGGUCUAAUACCGGAUAGGAGCGYCYACCGCAUGGUGGGUGUUGGAAAGAUUUAUCGGUUUUGGAUGGACUCGCGGCCUAUCAGCUUGUUGGUGAGGUAAUGGCUCACCAAGGCGACGACGGGUAGCCGGCCUGAGAGGGUGACCGGCCACACUGGGACUGAGACACGGCCCAGACUCCUACGGGAGGCAGCAGUGGGGAAUAUUGCACAAUGGGCGMAAGCCUGAUGCAGCGACGCCGCGUGAGGGAUGACGGCCUUCGGGUUGUAAACCUCUUUCAGUAGGGAAGAAGCGAAAGUGACGGUACCUGCAGAAGA